rnacentral:rRNA from 2 species
UAGGGAAUCUUCCACAAUGGACGAAAGUCUGAUGGAGCAACGCCGCGUGAACGAUGAAGGCUUUCGGGUCGUAAAGUUCUGUUGUAAGGGAAGAACAAGUGCCGCAGGCAAUGGCGGCACCUUGACGGUACCUUGCGAGAAAGCCACGGCUAACUACGUGCCAGCAGCCGCGGUAAUACGUAGGUGGCAAGCGUUGUCCGGAAUUAUUGGGCGUAAAGCGCGCGCAGGCGGCCUCUUAAGUCUGAUGUGAAAGCCCCCGGCUCAACCGGGGAGGGCCAUUGGAAACUGGGAGGCUUGAGUAUAGGAGAGAAGAGUGGAAUUCCACGUGUAGCGGUGAAAUGCGUAGAGAUGUGGAGGAACACCAGUGGCGAAGGCGACUCUUUGGCCUAUAACUGACGCUGAGGCGCGAAAGCGUGGGGAGCAAACAGG